GAAGUGCGAUAAGCAAUGCGAAUUGCAGAACCGUGAGUCAUCAGAUUUUUGAACGCAACUGGCACCGAUUGGCUAUCCAGUCGGUAUGCUUGUUUCAGUGUCUUAUUUUCUCCUCACCCAAAUCAUAAUGCGAGAGAUGCCCUUCUCUUGCUAAGCAUGAAAGCACUCUGCGCUCUGCAGGCGAUUCUAUGGCUUAGCCUGGAGUCGCACUCAAUGCAGCCGUCACAUUGCUUCCAAUGUGAACUCAUUGAGAGUAGAGGCAGCUCAGCGUAAGCUGUUAGUGCUUAGUCACUCAAACUUUAUCUGUAUCUGAAAUCAAGCAGGACCACCCGCUGAACUUAA
rnacentral:misc_RNA from 1 species